rnacentral:rRNA from 2 species
UGCAGCGACGCCGCGUGAGGGAUGACGGCCUUCGGGUUGUAAACCUCUUUCAGCAGGGACGAAGCGCAAGUGACGGUACCUGUAGAAGAAGGACCGGCCAACUACGUGCCAGCAGCCGCGGUAAUACGUAGGGUCCGAGCGUUGUCCGGAAUUACUGGGCGUAAAGAGCUCGUAGGUGGUUUGUCGCGUUGUUCGUGAAAACUCACAGCUUAACUGUGGGCGUGCGGGCGAUACGGGCAGACUUGAGUACUGCAGGGGAGACUGGAAUUCCUGGUGUAGCGGUGGAAUGCGCAGAUAUCAGGAGGAACACCGGUGGCGAAGGCGGGUCUCUGGGCAGUAACUGACGCUGAGGAGCGAAAGCGUGGGGAGCGAACAGGAUUAGAUACCCUGGUAGUCCACGCCGUAAACGGUGGGUACUAGGUGUGGGUUUCCUUCCUUGGGAUCCGUGCCGUAGCUAACGCAUUAAGUACCCCGCCUGGGGAGUACGGCCGCAAGGCUAAAACUCAAAGAAAUUGACGGGGGCCCGCACAAGCGGCGGAGCAUGUGGAUUAAUUCGAUGCAACGCGAAGAACCUUACCUGGGUUUGACAUGCACAGGACGUGCCUAGAGAUAGGUAUUCCCUUGUG